rnacentral:rRNA from 1 species
CCUACGGGUGGCAGCAGUGGGGAAUAUUGGACAAUGGGCGAAAGCCUGAUCCAGCCAUGCCGCGUGUGUGAAGAAGGCCUUCGGGUUGUAAAGCACUUUCAGUGGGGAAGAAAGCCUUGGGGCUAAUACCCUCGAGGAAGGACAUCACCCACAGAAGAAGCACCGGCUAACUCCGUGUCAGCAGCCGCGGUAAUACGGAGGGUGCGAGCGUUAAUCGGAAUUACUGGGCGUAAAGCGCGCGUAGGCGGUCUGAUAAGCCGGUUGUGAAAGCCCCGGGCUCAAUCUGGGAACGGCAUCCGGAACUGUCAGGCUAGAGUGCAGGAGAGGAAGGUAGAAUUCCCGGUGUAGCGGUGAAAUGCGUAGAGAUCGGGAGGAAUACCAGUGGCGAAGGCGGCCUUCUGGACUGACACUGACGCUGAGGUGCGAAAGCGUGGGUAGCAAACAGGAUUAGAUACCCCGGUAGUC